rnacentral:ncRNA from 1 species
UAUUGGUCAAUGGGCGCAAGCCUGAACCAGCCAUGCCGCGUGCAGGAUGACGGUCCUAUGGAUUGUAAACUGCUUUUGUACGGGAAGAAACCCUCCUACGUGUAGGAGCUUGACGGUACCGUAAGAAUAAGGAUCGGCUAACUCCGUGCCAGCAGCCGCGGUAAUACGGAGGAUCCAAGCGUUAUCCGGAAUCAUUGGGUUUAAAGGGUCCGUAGGCGGCCCUGUAAGUCAGCGGGGAA